GAUGAACGCUAGCUACAGGCUUAACACAUGCAAGUCGAGGGGGUAGCAGGGUAGCAAUACCGCUGACGACCGGCGCACGGGUGAGUAACACGUAUCCAACCUUCCCAUAACUCUGGGAUAGCCUUUCGAAAGAAAGAUUAAUACCGGAUGGUACUUUUUCAAGGCAUCUUGAGAAAGUUAAAGAUUUAUUGGUUAUGGAUGGGGAUGCGUUCCAUUAGAUAGUUGGUGAGGUAACGGCUCACCAAGUCUUCGAUGGAUAGGGGUUCUGAGAGGAAGAUCCCCAACAUUGGUACUGAGACACGGACCAAACUGCUACGGGAGGGAGCAGUGAGGAAUAUUGGUCAAUGAGCGAGAGCCUGAACCAGCCAAGUAGCGUGAAGGAUGAAGGUCCUAUGGAUUGUAAACUUCUCUUAUAGUAGAAUAAAGUGAUCCACGUGUGGAUUUUUGUAUGUACACUAUGAAUAAGGAUCGGCUAACUCCGUGCCAGCAGCCGCCGUAA
rnacentral:rRNA from 1 species